AGUGUUCGAUCAGAAAGGUCUUCGCAGUCGUUGAGAGUGGUACUGUUUUUAGAGUCUCUGGCAAAGUCCUAAAGUGUAGUCACUUAAAAAAAAAAUAAGUACAAGUCAGUAAAUUCCAUUUAUGAAGUGCACUAAGUUGUUAGCUGAUAGUGGAAGCUGAAAGUUGUUACAAUUGAUCGUUUUUCGGUUCGAACACUGCAGUGCGAGAGUCCUAAAGCAGUACCAAAUGAGACAGUGAUGCACCUUUCCGACCAUCCGACCAUCGGGGCUUGCUCUCAAUCGGCUGGAUGUCGUCUGGAAACUGAAACCUAAUCUUGAUUUUGCUUUCAGAUAGAACUCUCGCCGCAGAGUUCUGAAGGGGGCGUACCUAGAGAAGCGUCACCAAGAGUUAUCACAAUCCUUGUUGUGAGAAAGAAAAGUACCGAAAGCAUAAUGAAUGCAAAAUCCCCGGUGUGGGUUUGGAGAAGAUCUUCAUCGGCUUCAUCCGUGUCCGAUCGUCCGAGGCGAGAGGGUGUACUCGAGAAUACUAGAUCAAUAUGAAAGCGAGCGAGCGAGCGAGCGAACGAGCGUGAGAAAGAGAGAGAAUGACAGGCUGCCUUCGAGCUGCUGCUGCUAGCGCUGUUUGCGUCGAGCUGGUGUUUUCCGAUGCCGAGUUGUGACAAUGCUACUGGCCAACUGCCCCCUUUCGGAAGGACCUACCCGUCUUCCGUCGUGCGUGCAGCGUCGUACACGUCACACCAACACGGAUCCACGAGCGAAACCCAAGUUCUCAUCAAGCGAGCAUGCUGAAACGAACUAGGCAGCAAGCGGCGACAGCGUCAAGGCAACGCGCUCAACUUCGAUCGAAUCGAAAGUCUGAAAAGGAGCGUAGUAGUAGAAGCACUGUGCUUAUGCGCUUUUUAGUGAGUACGUGACAGCAUGCAUUUCCUUAGAUUUGUCUGUUUUCCAUUGCGAUUGUGUGACGGUGGAAGGUGGCUUUCGGUGGGGAUCUAACCCCCCGGAGCACGUUUUUUCUCCUAACCAGAUUUUGUAUUUUUCAUGAACGAAAAAAAAAAAAAACCUAAAAUGGCCACGCGGAAGAGCGAGCAGAAAGCCCCCGCGACGCUUCAGAAGCCAAGGCACAACAUACAUACACACAACAUCGCUUAUGCAACACGCAUGAAAUUUUCGUUUUCAACAAUGCACUUUCAACAGAGCGCGCAGAGAACAAGAAAAAUGGGUUUAGGUGAAGUGAAACGUAGGAAAGACAGGCAGAGAGAGAGAGAAGCCCAAACGAGGUCACCUUGGAGAGAAAUCAAAAGCUUGAAAGCAGCAAUCGAAACCGAAAUGUGCAUAGCGGUAACUAGUGCUGAUUUUUUUCUAUUUGCAACCAGAUUUUUUGGAAUUUCUAGAAGCGAAUGAGCAGGUUAUAUGUAGGAUGAAAGAGAGAGAGAGAGGGAGAGAAGGAGUACGGGGCUCAGAUAAUAGAGAAACAGAGAGGACAAAAAAAAUGGAGUGCACAGUUGCGUUGUUCCAAUGGCUCAUCCCCACACAUCUAAGUAGGCGACGAGCUGAACGUGUCUAGACGUGCACUGCUCGGACAGGUCGUCAAGAGAAAGACACAGGAAGAGAAAUUUAUUUUCAUUUUGUACCCAGAAAAGAUGAUCGAGGUAAAGUGCACACACAUUUACACUUCAACGCACGCAUUUAUUUUCUUGCAGAGUUGGAAACUGUUCAAAGCAAGUUUAGCUGGCAGCUAGUGAGUUAGUGCGAUCAUUUACGGUAUCCCUCACCAACGGUUCGAGAAGGCGAAAACCAGUGUGUAACAUACUAGAAAAAAAAUAAUAAUAUGAAAGUUAAAGCCCCGUCUCCGCUAGGCUUGAUCGAUUACAGGCUCCGUCCUGUUUUAACGCCAAAAACCAGAUUUUUUUUUAUUAUUUGCAGCGAGUAGCUAGGCUUCCACUGUUCUAUCUUCUUCCAUCUGUUCUACGUAGCAACCUAACCUCGGAAGACCCCCCUCACCGGUGAAGACCCAUCAAAAAAAACGGCGGUAAACAAACACAAAUCGACUAGCAAAACCUCGAGUUUUCAUAUUAUUGCAGAACACCCAAACACGGUCCGGCUGUGAGCCGAGUUUCUCUGUUUAUUGUUUCUGUUCCUUUUGUGUUUUACUCCCUACAUACUCUGGGACACGGACGCGAGCGAGACGUGCGACACGGCCCAAUCGAAUCCGAUCGAUUCUCUCCCCGGUCCGGCCAUCUUGGUCGAGUUUCUCUGUUUCUUCUUCUUGCAUUAUUUCAUCCAUCUCUCUACCAUACAACCUGUGGACGCCACCGGCAUCGAACCGCCCGGAGUUCCCCGGAUCAUGACGUAACGCUUCCGUGAACGUGAAGGGACUUGCACACACGAGCUCGGUAAACGAUACAAUACUACCCUUCGCAAAACCCGAGUUUUCGUCUUUACAGCAACACCCGAUGAGCUUUGGUCCGGCUGUCCCGCGAUGGAAGCCGAGUUUCUAUGUCUAUCGUUUUGUUUUGCUUUUUUUCUCUGAUACUAUCCACCCUCGUGAGAGACAGAGAACGACGAACGGGACACGGUUUUAUAACUGGACGCGAUCGGAAGACGGAAGCAAAACCCGGAAGAGACCCCCGACGUCUAGCCCCGGCCUUUCUUUCACAACUUCGGUCCGGCUCUCAUAACCAGCCGAGUUUCUGUGUUUUUCUUUUGUUUUUCUGUUCUUUUUUGACACUCUCUGCAAACAUAACCUCGUCAUGCACCCCCACCACCACAACAACAACAACAGCAAAAAAUCCCCAUUCGGAAAGAGAGGGACAGGGAGAGACAAGAGCAAAGGAAGAUAGCGAGAGAAAGAGGGAACACAGACAGACCGAGAAUCAGAGCUAAAAUAGACACAAAUAGGACUCGUAUAUCAGCAGCGCUCAGCGUUCGCUAUGACGCAGUAGUGUUUGAGACACGGCGGAAUUUGCGGUAACCUUGACAACAGAUAUCUUCGCAACCAGAAUCUCCGUUUUCUUUUGCAGUUGUGCCCAACGAGUCGUCGUCUUAUGAGUGAGUGUAUAUUCGGGGGCAGGUAUAUGAUUUCUAAUUUAGAAAGAGGAAACCAUCGACUCAACAUUAGAAGCGCGACAUUCAUCAGGGAAAGCACGGCCAUACAACCGUAAGCACAUUGAUUUUAGUUAGAACAACCAGAGUUUGAGAUAUUUGCAGAACAAAAAAGAUAUGGCGAAUUUUUCGACCAACUGGUCUAGCAUCUAGAAUUGGAGCAACCAGAUACAUAUUUGACACGAUAACAUCGCAGUUAUACGCAUUGAAGCGUGGUUCCGCAUCCAUUGAACGUAAGCAAAAUGCAUUUUUUCCCCAACAACCAGAAUUUUCGUACUUGCAGCUCUGAAUACGCGAAUUUGCGUUGGAAAUAUCAGUAGGCCUUGCCGCAGAAAUUGCGCAGUUGCCAAGCAACACACAAUGGGAAUCGAAUUGAUAGGGCAGCAUCCGUCUUCUUCUACCUCUUCUUGAUUGCGGUAAUCCAGAGUUGAAAUUUUCCCCCUCGACAACCAGAGUUUUACUCUUUUGCAGAGAAUCUAAACAAAUGACAGCAAAACCGACCGGACACCGUGUGGCGUUUUCCGAAAUUGUACCUUGUUUUGAUCUGUGCGUGUGCGUGUUAGGCAUUUUUGCGGUUAUCUUUCCAAUCAUCCAGCUUCUUCUGACCAACAUAUACUUCAGUGUGCGUGCUUAUGCGGGAUAUCAUACCUUGAAACUAGUGACAGCGAAGGAAGCCCCAAAGUUGGGACCGCAUGUGGUGGUAGCUAUGCUAAUUUGUUUUACUCUAUUUAUGUAUCUUUUUUUUAUCUAAUUUAUAUACCCUAAACAAAAAUCUAAUAAUUCACUAGUAGUGCGUUUAGCGAUUUAUGGUAGUGUUAACCGUUUUUUCUUGGCUUACGCCAUCACGGGAAAACGGGGUUUUGUUUAAGGAUUAAACACAUAAUUUAUCUUUUACAGAAAAGAA